AUACAGAGGGUGCGAGCGUUACUCGGAAUCACUGGGCGUAAAGCGCGCGCAGGCGGUCUUUUAAGUUGGAUGUGAAAGCCUACGGCUCAACCGUAGAACUGCAUCCAAAACUAUUAGACUAGAGUGUGGGAGAGGAAGAUGGAAUUAGUUGUGUAGGGGUAAAAUCCGUAGAGAUAACUAGGAAUACCAAAAGCGAAGGCAAUCUUCUGGAACACUACUGACGCUGAGGCGCGAAAGCGUGGGGAGCAAACAGGAUUAGAUACCCUAGUAGUCC
rnacentral:rRNA from 1 species